UCUCACAGAAGAUAUAUUUUAGGAUAAUUGGAAUUCAAGGUUCUGGUUUGCUUUUGCAUUUUUUUUCUUGUCUUCUUCUCGAUUUAAAAUUUCAGUGGAUCGCGACAAUCACCCAAGAUAUAUGAGAGCUUUAUUGAUGGAAAACAAUAAUAAUUUGUUGAUCAAAAGCUGGUGAAGGCGAUCGUAGCUUUAUGCUUGAGCGAUAAUUGAAGUAUGCAUCGAAGACGAAAAAGCCGCUGAAACUCUCUUUUAGUUUUGAAAGUGUCUUUUGGGCAUGCUUGGCAUUAGCUGAAUCUGCAAUGCAAGUGGAAGUCGUGAACGGAACUGGUAAGACCAUACUUAAUGCCGUGGAGAAAUAUUGUUCACUCUGUUAUACUUCAUCUAAUGCUUUGUGGCAUGCACACUCUGGAUUUUUGGAACAAUUUCAUGAAAAUGUAUAGAUAUUUUUUUAUAGAAGUUACAAAUUUGGGCUAUAUCAGGUCUGCGUACCUUGAUAUGAAAAUGUGAUUCAACCUAAGCCUUUACGAAACAUGCCAGUCUAAAUCUAUCACGAUCCAGAUGAAUAAGUCACUUUUAUGAGUGUCUAGAUAUGCUAAAUUAUCUGAAUUCAUUUCUCAGGUAAUGUGUAUUGUAGUAAUACAAAAUACGGAUUUAUAUACAACAUGAAGCAAAACUUUCAUGUGAGAGCCAUGUACGCGUGGACAUGUGAUACUUCCCUUAGACUAUUCCAUUUUUAAACUAGGAUUCAUUACUCAGGCUUGUACUAGUUUGUACUUAAUACUUAUGUGAAAAUCUUUAUAUCACCAAAAUUAUAAUACAAAUCUGAAAGCAGUCAUAAAUUUAUCUAUGGCCCAACACCACUGGAUUAGAAAUAUGUUGCUCUGUUGAAAACCACUUUUUUAGCCAGCAUUCUCUGUACACCUGCUGUGAACUUAGUCCCUUAAUACAAUGUUGUUCUUGAUUACUGCAAUUGUGACACUGGAUUCACAAAAAUCGACUCAUGGACUUGGAGUUUCACGGCGCCCGUGUAAGAUAUCGACUUCGGGGAUUAUUGAAACCGGGCAGGUUCUUGACGUUGCCUGGUUUUUGAGAUAGAACAUGAUCAGCUCUUCAUCAGUGGGAUGGAAUCGGAAACCGGGAGGAAGAUCAGUGCUAUAUGUGUCCACCAUUUUCUUUUGGGUGGUGAAGAGAAAUGCCAAGAGGAGAGGAGUCGGUGUUUGAAAUGCUAGCAAGGCGAUGGCUCCUCUAUUUAUAUCUCAACAUUUUUGUCACCUUGAGAGGUAUAUUUCACUUUUGAUUGGCUGUUUUCUUGACUUUAAAAACACACAUUUGUGUGUGUUGUUUUUGUGUUAGUGUACAGUGAAUUAUGCCAUGCUGCACGAAUUGCAAUUAUUUGGAAUACUACUUCCUUUA